CACGGCCCGAGCCCUCAGAGCGCGGCGCGGAGGCGGCAGGUGCCGUUCCCGGCCGCUGAGAGCCGCGGCCCCGCCGUGGGCUGGGCUGACAUUUGCACGGCGAUCCCUUCCCCGGAGGAGAUGAGAAGAGCACGGGGAUGCUGUGAUGGACGGCGACACGAGAGUCACAGCUGAAAACGAUUCGAUUUUGUAUUUUGAUGUGCAAUAAAAAAUGAAAUGCUUAAAA